rnacentral:lncRNA from 1 species
UGCAGAAAUUCAGUGUGCUUUGUAGAAUCAAAUUGACAGAGUUUUGGCGCUUUUAAACUUAUGUAUAUCUCUGUUUUAUCUUCAAGUCUUCACUCCUUUAUAUAGAGGCGUGAAAGAGACGUUGAGAUAAUCAGCACGUCUAAAGAGUCGUUUGAAAUCCUUUGAUUAUCCACCAGUGAUCCUUUGCCUGAUUUGGGUGUAGUCCUUUGAAGAAUAAACUUCAAAUUCAUUCCCAUCUUGAGUUGUACAAAUUCUGCAGGCAUGGCUGUUGUUUUGUCUUGUAGCGUAGACAGAAAACAGAGUAGUGGAGGUAGUGGUUGUACACUUGUACUUUGUCAACUCUAUUAACGAGAGACAAGAGCUCAGUGCUAUCCAUAUAUCCGUUGAUACCUCCCUUUCAGUUCUUCGUUCUUCUUUGAUAAGACUGAAUUGAGAAUCAGCAACUUUGAAUCUUCAGUUUGAUUAAAGGAUCAAAUGUAGC